UACAGAGGGUGCGAGCGUUAAUCGGAAUUACUGGGCGUAAGCGUGCGUAGACGGUUAUUUAAGUCGGGUGUGAAAGCCCCGGGCUCAACCUGGGAAUUGCAUUCGAGACUGAAUAGCUAGGGUACGGUAGAGGGAAGUGGAAUUUCCGGUGUAGCGGUGAAAUGCGCAGAUAUCAGGAGGAACACCGGUGACGAAGGCGGUUCUCUGGGCCUUACCUGACACUGAGGAGCGAAAGCGUGGGGAGCGAACAGG
rnacentral:rRNA from 1 species